AUUGAACGCUGGCGGCAGGCCUAACACAUGCAAGUCGAGCGGAUGAGAGGAGCUUGCUCUUCGAUUCAGCGGCGGACGGGUGAGUAAUGCCUAGGAAUCUGCCUAGUAGUGGGGGACAACGUUUCGAAAGGAACGCUAAUACCGCAUACGUCCUACGGGAGAAAGUGGGGGAUCUUCGGACCUCACGCCAUUAGAUGAGCCUAGGUCGGAUUAGCUAGUUGGAAGGGGAACGGCCUACCAAGGCGACGAUCCGUAACUGGUCUGAGAGGAUGAUCAGUCACACUGGAACUGAGACACGGUCCAGACUCCUACGGGAGGCAGCAGUGGGGAAUAUUGGACAAUGGGCGAAAGCCUGAUCCAGCCAUGCCGCGUGUGUGAAGAAGGCCCUCGGGUCGUAAAGCACUUUAAGUUGGGAGGAAGGGCUUACAGCGAAUACCUGUGAGUUUUGACGUUACCGACAGAAUAAGCACCGGCUAACUUCGUGCCAGCAGCCGCCGUAA
rnacentral:rRNA from 1 species